AUGCAUAUUGUACGAGCAAGAAUUGAGUACGAGGCAGUUUAAUUUGGGAAUGAAAUUAUUACAAAGUGCAAAUAGCACCCCCUAUUGCCAAGAGGUUUUAAGCAUUCAAAUAGUGUGCACUUUCAUGCUUUAAAUGAAGUAAGGGCCGAUAUUAUUAAAUCAAAAUCCGAUCAAAUCUAAUUUUAUUUGUCACAUGCGCCGAAUACAACAGGUACAGUGAAAUGCUUACUUACGAGCCCAUUCCCAACAGUGCAGUUUUAAGAAAAUACCUUAAAACUAUGUCAAUGUUUAGUGCUUAGCUUGUGGAUAUCACUUUCAUAAAGUUCACAUAGCUAUUUCAGUUGUAGCUAAAGGGUGUUGAAUGAGUUCAUGUAAAUACCAUGCCAAUGAAUGUCUCCUCACUACAUACUGUAUGUAUGGAAGCACUUGUAUGAACUGUUGUAUGAAUUUGAAAUAUAUUUUUAACAUAGCUAUUUACAGUACUUACUUUUUUAUCAAAUCAGAUUUGAGCCUACACUUGUAAUUGCAAUCCUGAAAUGUAAAUCUAAUUUGAAGUUUAAAAAACACAAUUAAUUAAUUGAUUGCACAUUCUGUAUCAACAGCCAUUGAUGUCCCAAAUAAUAAAGAUUCACUGGUGAAAUACAUAUAGUACGAAGAGAAUCUGUCAUAAAUAAAACCCUAAUUCCGGUAAUAUCUUAUACUGUUAAUUACCCUUAUACUAUAAUAAAUGCCCAUAUCAGAGACUACAUAAUAUACUAUACACUGAGUGGCCAGUUUAUUAGGUACACCACCCUGUUCACAAAAACGGUUCGCUCCUACAGACAGUGAGUCAUGUGGCUGUGGCUUGCUAUAUAAAGCAGGCAGACAGGCAUUGAGGCAUUCAGCUACUGUUCGACUGAACGUUAGAAUGGGCAAAAUGAGUGACCUAAGUGAGUUUGAGCAUAGUAUCAUCGUUGGUGCCGGGCGCACCAGUUCCCGUAUCUCAGAAUCGGCUGUCCUCCUGGGCUUUUCACGCAAGACAGUGUCUAGGGUUUACCGAGAAUGGUGCGACAAACAAAAAACAUCCAGUCAACGGUAGUCCUGUGGAUAAAAACAGCUUGUUGGUGAGAGAUCGAAGCAAAAAUCAUGCAAACUAACAGCUAGCCACAAACAGGCAAAUAACAUUGGUCCAACGGUUUGGGUUAAAUGCAGAAGACACAUUUCAUUUGAAUGCAUUCAGUUGUACAACUGACUAGGUUUCCCCUUUCCCUUGUCACAGAGGGGCUAUUGCAGGAGACGAUCACACCGGGUUCCACUCCUAUCAGCUAAAAACGAGAAGAAGCAGCUCCAGUGGGCAUUUGAUCACAAACACUGGACAAUUGAGGAGUGGGAAAACAUUGCCUGGUCCAACGAAUCCUGGUUCCUGUUGCAUCACGCUGAUGGCAGAGUAGGAUUUGGUGUAAGCAGCAUGAGUCCAUGGCUCCAUCCUGCCUGGUGUCAAAAGCCUACAGUUCUUGAAACGUUGUUGUCAUGCUGACAUGAUGUGCCUGACCUUCCAGAAAUAACACUAGACCUCAUCCAUAUGCCCCUGUGCUCAGAUGUGGGAGCCAUAGAUCAUCAUGAUCAUAUGACAGAGAUAUCACUGAAGACAGAGAAGAGAUGCGCCUGUCUCGGAUCCUUAUCCAUCAUGAUACCCUAAUGUACGAGCCAGUGCCACCCCGGACAAGGAGGCUUGGUGGUGUGGAGGAGAUGGUGGCUGUCCAGAGGAUGCUCCUGGGGUAGGUCACAGCCCUGCGCAGGGUGCAGGAGGAGCUGCUAAAGGUGGAAGGCGAGAGAUUAGCCCUGGAGAAAGGGAAGCUAGCCCUGGAGAAGAAGUUUGCCAUGGAGAAGCGAAAAAGACUUGAAGAUUAAUUACCUAAAAUAAAUCUGUUUCGAUAUCAUACAAACCUUUUUGUCAUGUGAAUCUCCUCCUUAUGAGGUAAUUUCUUGUUUGUAGGCCAUCACUGCAUCAACCAGUGGCAUUGUGGUCAGCGGCAACAUCCUGAUCAGGUACAGCUGGUGGAAUGUCAGAUGUAUUGGGAUGUGGCAUCCUGUUUUGUAUGCAGAUGUAGUGCAAGAUACAUGCUGAGGUUAUGAUCUUGCAUGUUUUUUCUGGUCUGUAUGAAAUAACGCCCCCAGAUCGGUCAAUGCAUCUGUAUCUGGAUUGUAGGAAUCCAAUAGAUCUCUCUACUAAACUCCUCAUUUUCAUCUGAGCAUGGUUGUAGUUAUCUUCUGCAUUGUUGUUAGUGUGUAGGAUUGGUGUCUUGAGCCACGUUUUUUGUCCAUAGCCACUAUCUUACUUUCGUGCCGUGGGGGAGAUCUUCAUGGGCUAUACUCGGCCUUGUCUCAGGAUAGUAAGUUGGUGGUUGAAGAUAUCCCUCUAGUGGUGUGGGGGC